AUCCCCACCUUCCAUCCCUUAGCUUGUAAGACAAGCCAUUGGACUUCUUACUUCCUCUCUUCACCUAUCAGCUUCCUCAACAAGUUAUUUGGAUUCUUCUUCCUUCUCCUACACGCCGGUUCCAAGGGACAAGAAAACAAAAUCCUCUCAUUCUCCCUUACACACAUUGACGGCUUGCAAGGCAAGACAAGUAGACUCCUUGCUCAUUCCUCUUCACCCGUUAGUCCCACAUGAAGGAGAGAAAACUUCUCAAGUUUUCCUUCACACGAAGAACCCUUCGGUUUACCCCAAGCCUCGCGAUCACUUCUUCUCCUCAAGCCGAUUCUUCCACUUCAUAAACCUAAGAUUUCUACCGAAAAUCUUCAAGGAAAAUCAACCUCGUAAAAAUUUUUCUGCUGUGUUCUAGCCCUUAAUCCUUCGGAUUUCCUCUUCCUCUUCUCGUGGUUGUGUACUUUCGUGGCUUCAAAGGGGACCCAAACAGGUAUUAUACCUUCCAUGAGAUUUCUUAUGAAUUGGGGAUUUUUGAAAUUCUGUGGGAACCGAUUGUUGUGUGGUGAUUUCUGGGUUAUCUCUCAUUUGUUCCCUCUAUUAGUUGCUCUAGUUGAGUGGUAGCCGAAUAGGGGAAUGAAGGUGUUUUGUGUGAUAUGUUGUGCUCUGUUUUGGUGUUCUAGCGUGUGGGUGUUCUGUUUUGUUGUUCUAGUCGAGCGUGUGUAUGUGCUCUAUUUUGGUGUUCCAACCAUGUGUUGCACAAAGCAAGAUUGUAGUCCAUCCUUGUGUUUUAUCAAGUUUAAGUCAUGUUUUAGUGAUGCUUUUAUGUGUUAAAUUAAUGAAGUUAAACUUAUAAAUUUGGCAUGUUUUCCCUAAGGUUUAUGGCCUAAGUAAGCCACUAGGAACUUCAAGUAAAAAUAGUAAGUUGCCUUGGAAAUUUGAGUUGCCGAAUAUGGUGCUCAUUAUGUAUGUUAUGUUUUCAGAAAAAUGUUAUACCUUUCCUAUGUUUUCUACAACUUUCAUAUGGUUUAAUUAUGUAGUUGAAGUUUUGGCUAAGUAAGGGAUAUUUAAGACCAUGAAUAUGCUAGAACUUGCUAGCUGCACAUGCAUUUUAAAGUUCUGAAAUAUAUUCUGUUUUGGGAGCCUAAAUCAGCCCAUUCCAUCUCUUGCUCAACUUCACCCUUUUGCUUAAUCAAUGACGAACUUUAGUAUGGAAAACCCUUGAAGAAUGAGUGUCAAAAACCAACCCUCUUGUAGUCGUUGGCCUUUUAUUAGAUUUACUUCCACAUGAGGUUGUAAAGCUGUCAAAAUGCCCUCUUUGACGAAAAUUCCAGAUUUUGCAACAAAUUCUUAUUCCUUUCCCUUUUCAAAUAAAUCCCUACCAUCCUAUAUGUUUUAACUCAUGAUUUCCUACCUAUCCCUUGUAUAGAAAGUAGUAGCUUUAAAGAGGGGCAGCAAGUAAGUUAAUUAUUUUCAUGGGUUUCUUUAAAUGUCAGAAUGAGAAUAUUAGGGUUGACUUAGUAUCAAGUAUGCAGCUAAGGGGUUAAGGAAAACACUUUAAUUCCAAUGUGGAAUUUAAGUGAGGGCGUAAGGGUGUCGGAUAGCAAGACUUAAUGUGAAAUGAAUUUUAAUGCGUUCAUUUCAUUUCAUUGAAUAGGAGUUUAUUUCAAGAUUUAAGGAACCUACUUGUAAAGCAUCGAGAUAAUUAGCUAUGACCAUGCUCCUUACAUUCUUAUGAAAAAGUGUCUCGCUCCUUCCAAAUGUUUCUCUUAUGAAAGAAUAUAUGCAUGUAUAGUAUGUAUAACCCUUUCUUGGUAACCCCUGUUAAGUACCCUAUUAAUUACCAUUGUGUAUAUAUAAGGUAAUGCAUCAUGAGAUUUUAUGCAUGCUCUCUCUUGAAUAAUUAUGCCUUACCUAUAUGUAUGUAGCAUGACAUGAAACAUUCCUUUCAAAGAAACGCAUAUGCAUUGGCACUAAAUGAAGAUAAUGAAAACAUUGAUUUUUCUAAAGAAAGGAAAGGAAAAAAAAUAAAAGCAUGAAUGUAUGUGACUGCCAUAUGUAUGCUAAGGGUACCAAAGAAAUGGGCAGAUUGCAAUGCCUAGUAAGUAGUACUGGUAGUGCACCCAGUGCUGCCCCCCCUCUCGAUGAAAGGGAUUCCUAACCUGUGGCCACGGGUGGUAUCCAGGUCUAAAAGACCACUAACCCCAACACACUGGGCGUAAUAGUGUGUACUAGCCGAAGAAAGUGGAGUGUAAAGCAAAGUUAGUUCUUAGAAAUGUUUAAGCACGAAAGUAUAGCUAUGCCUUAAAUUGUUUAUGCAUGGAAAGAGAGUUAUUUCUUAAAUUGUUUAUGCACGGAAGUAUUGGCAAGAACUACAAAUGUUAUGUAUACAUGUUUUCAAAAGAAAAGAUUAUGUGAGUAAUAAGUUAACGGCAUGGUGUACUGCAUACUGAGUAUUAGACUCACUUUGUGUUUAUGUUUUAAACGUCCACGUAUGGAUGAAGAGUCUAUGGAGCUGGGCACUGCGAAGGAGGGAGGGGCCGAUGCUUAGAGUUUCCCUGACGGUUUGACCAUGAUGAGGAUGGUUAUAUUUUUAUUUUAUUUUAUGAUGGGUCCCAUGUUGAGACAUUUUGUUGGCUUGACUUUUAAACAAUAUGCCUACGGGCAUGAUGUAAAUAUUACGGUGGGGUGAUGGUAAUGGCAUAACUUCUAUGGUGGGGUGAUAGUAACCCCACAUAAGAUGGUAUGGUUUGUAGGGACAGAGUCCCCUCUUACUUAGGACUGUUUAUGGUUGGUGAAUGGAUAAUGGACUCUGAGAGUCCUUUAUUUAGAAUAUUGAAGAGAUCGUUUAUCAGGUGUUCCUUUUAAAUUAGAAGUGCAGAGUGCAUGCACGACAUGUUCACGCAUGUCCCUUAUUACCUCGAAAAAAAAAAAAAAAUAGCACUAAUAAUAAUAAGGAAAGAACAGGUCACGCAUCGUGAUCACGUCCUAAGAAUGGGACGGGGUUGUGACAUACUUAGCAAAACUUCAUAAUUUAUUUAAUGAUGAAAGAAUAGUAUUUCUAUAAUUAAAGUUGAGUUUAGAUUUAUGAUAUGAUUUUUCUAUCUUAAUUCAUAUUAUUUUACUUAAUUUAUUUCAAUAUUUUAAUAUUCACCGUUAGAUCAAUAUGAAGAGCCAAGAUAAAGGGUCUAAAUUAAAACCUACUCUUCUCUUUUCCCUCUCUCUUUCCCCUUCCCCUUGCAGUUGACGGAACCCCCCUUCUCCCCUCUCUUAUCCUUUGGCCAUUGCCCAGCAGCCGGCGACUACUGCAGUGCCGCGCCACCACUACCUCACCGACGAACACCACUCGCUGAACCCAGCCUCCCCACAACGCCUCUCUCUCCCUCUCCUCCUCCCCCAAAACGAGCCUCCUUCCCUCUUAGCUUCUCCACGUCAUUGUCGCAACCCGCACCCAAGCCAUCGCCGUUCAUCGUCGACUACACUAAGAGCCCCUCGCCGGCUCCCGCCGAUCAUCCCCCAACUCCCCCACGAUCUCUCCAUUCCCUGUAACUCCCUUGUCUUCAUCUGUGGGUAUGUUUUCUUCUCUUUGUUUUUUUGUUCUCUCUUUGGUGAUUUUGAGUUUGUUUUGAAUAGAAUAUUUGAAUGUUUGAGGAGUAUUUUUAUGGGUUACAUCCUCGUGUCGUCUUCUUCAUCCAUGGGUAUGUUUUAUUCUCUCUGUUUUUUUGUUCUCUCUUUGGUGAUUUUGAGUUUGUUUUGAAGAGAAUAUUUGAAUGUUUGAGGAGUAUUUUUAUGGGUUAGAUGCUUGUGCCGUCAUCUUCAUUCGUGGAUAUGUUUUAUAAUAUUUGUUUUUUUGUUCACUCUUUGGUAUUUUGAGUUUGUUUUGCAGACAAUUUUGAAUGUUUAAUGGGUUUUAGAGUUUGGGUGAAAGUCAAAUCUUGGGAUUAAUUUUGGAUUCGGUGGGAUAGGUUUGAAGAGGGAGUGAAAUUGUGAAAGUGAUGGGUUUUGGUGGGAGAGGUUUGAAUGACCAAAUACUUACUCCUCUUUUCAUCAAAUAAUCUUGUUUCCUUCAAACAGAUAAUUUUGUAUUCUGAUUGUUAAAUAAAGGUGUAAUAUUAGGGCACUGAGUUGUAGUAUUCUGGUUCUCUUUCGCUAACUUGUUCUCUUAGACAACAUUGGACAUUGAGUUCACAAGACUCGGAUCAUUGUUGCAAUCCUUGGUACCUUUUUCUACACAUGGUAUGCUUUGCAGUAGCAUUGGCUUGCUCACAGUAUACUAUGACUUGCUUUAUGCAUUCAGUAUAAAUAGCAUCCUUCUGAAUGAAACAUUUUUGUUGGCAGUGUCUUUAUUCAAUAAGAUGCGAAAAUACUGUUAUUGAGCUACUUUUAUUAUAUAUUGUGUCUAUUGUUAAUACUUGGUCAAUCCAUUUUGGAAACCUCUACUUUGUAAUGUAUGCAUGGAGAAUUUGGUGUUCCUUUCAUGGUUUCUGCUUUUCUCUGUUGAAAUACAUUCUUACUCUUCAGUUUGGGUGGUGGAGAGAAUAUACUAGGAAUUCAAUGUAGCGGUUGUCUUCAAUUUAGGUGGCUACAUCAAAAUAUCUAUGAAGUUUUAUUUGGUGUGAUUAAAUCACAUGGAAGACUAUGUUAUCGAUAUGUAACUCAUAUCUUGUAAUUUUAUAUUUUGUAAUGUAAUGUAGUUUACUGUAAGUUUCUUGUCCAUUGUUCAAGUUAUUUGUAUUCCAAUAUUUUCUUUUCUA